rnacentral:snRNA from 1 species
GGAUGUGAGGGCGAUCUGGCUGUGACCUCUGUCACCCCACUGAUCGCCAAGGUUGGUUCAGCUGACCUGGCUGGCUAGGCGGGUAUCCCCUUCCUCCCUCAGUAUUCCAUGUGCGUCCCUCCCAAAACUGCACGUUCAGUCGAAGAGGACGAAGACGACCACCCCUGAUAGAGGAGGAUCGCUCCUUGGCCAAGGAGUAUAUGAGUAGCUGUGCUGCCCUGCUAGAACCUCCAAACAAGCUCUCAAAAAUAUUGUGAAUGUUUAAUUUUUUAAAAAAUAUUACAAUGUUAAAGAAAUAUUGUUAAUA